CACGUAGGGGGCAAGCGUUGUCCGGAUUUAUUGGGCGUAAAGAGCUCGUAGGCGGUUCGGUAAGUCGGGUGUGAAACCUCCAGGCUCAACCUGGAGACGCCACCCGAUACUGCUGUGACUAGAGUCCGGUAGGGGAGCGUGGAAUUCCUGGUGUAGCGGUGAAAUGCGCAGAUAUCAGGAGGAACACCAAUGGCGAAGGCAGCUCGCUGGGACGGUACUGACGCUGAGGCGCGAAAGCGUGGGGGAGCAAACAGG
rnacentral:rRNA from 1 species